rnacentral:rRNA from 1 species
GACGAACGCUGGCGGCGUGCUUAACACAUGCAAGUCGAACGAAGAGCGAUGGAAGCUUGCUUCUAUCAAUCUUAGUGGCGAACGGGUGAGUAACGCGUAAUCAACCUGCCCUUCAGAGGGGGACAACAGUUGGAAACGACUGCUAAUACCGCAUACGAUCUAAUCUCGGCAUCGAGGAUAGAUGAAAGGUGGCCUCUACAUGUAAGCUAUCACUGAAGGAGGGGAUUGCGUCUGAUUAGCUAGUUGGAGGGGUAACGGCCCACCAAGGCGAUGAUCAGUAGCCGGUCUGAGAGGAUGAACGGCCACAUUGGGACUGAGACACGGCCCAGACUCCUACGGGAGGCAGCAGAGGGGAAUCUUCCGCAAUGGACGAAAGUCUGACGGAGAAACGCCGCGUGAGUGAUGACGGCCUUCGGGUUGUAAAGCUCUGUUAAUCGGGACGAAAGGCCUUCUUGCGAAUAGUGAGAAGGAUUGACGGUACCGGAAUAGAAAGCCACGGCUAACUACGUG